UACGAAGGGGGCUAGCGUUGCUCGGAAUCACUGGGCUUAAAGGGCGCGUAGGCGGGGGGUCAAGUCCGAGGUGAAAUCUUUCGGCUCAACCGGAAAAGUGCCUUGGAUACGGACUCUCUCGAGGGAGGUAGGGGCAUGUGGAACUUCCGGUGGAGCGGUGAAAUGCGUAGAGAUCGGAAAGAACACCAACGGCCGAAAGCACUCUGCUGGGCCGACACUGACACUGAGAGACGAAAGCUAGGGGAGCGAAUGGG
rnacentral:rRNA from 1 species